rnacentral:rRNA from 1 species
GUGUCAGCAGCCGCGGUAAGACGUAGGGGGCGAGCGUUACCCGGAAUUACUGGGCGUAAAGGGGGCGUAGGCGGUGAUACAAGUCAUCUGUGAAAACCUAUUGCUCAACGAUAGGCUAGCGGAUGAAACUGUAUUACUUGAGUGCACCAGAGGUAGACGGAAUUACCCGAGUAGGGGUGAAAUCCGCAGAUACGGGUAGGAACGCCGGUGGAGAAGUCGGUCUACUGGGGUGCACCAGACGCUGAGGCCCGAAAGCUAGGGGAGCAAACCGGACUAGAUACCCGGGUAGUCCUAGCCGUAAACGAUGCUCACUAGGUGUAGGGAGUGAUAAACUCUCUGUGCUGAAGCGAACGCGCUAAGUGAGCCGCCUGGGGAGUACGGUCGCAAGAUUAAAACUUAAAUAAAUUGACGG